UUGUGUUGUGCAGCUUCUCCUAAACGCCUCCAUUUCUCUCCUCCUCAUGCUCCACUAAGCUCAGAAGCCAGAAAAAUACAUCUGGAGCAAGCAUAAGAGUGUCAGGGAUAAAAGACCCCAGGAGAACAAUCUCACUGGUAGGUCUUUGCUGAUGACCAAGGUGGGACUCCCAUGAAGAUUUGAAAGGUGUCCCCCGUGCUCUGGCCUUCCAGGUUCGCCAGCACCUCCUCAGCCUUUGGCUUGAAGCUCUCAGCCUGAGCAUACUGCCUGUCCACCCCCAAACAUUUCUUCCCCACCAACAAAGGAUUAUCAGCAUUUAUUACAAUGUUGUCUGUAAUGGAUUACAGCUGCCCAGGACCCGGGGAAGCAUGACUUCACAGCCUCUCACCCCUCCUCCUGUUAGGAUCAGUCAUGCUGCUGCAGCAUGUUGAGAUGUGGGGUUCUGCUGGCCUCUAGGAUGCUUAUUACUUAGAUACCAUAGGGUACAGCCAGAUGAGCUCAUGUGAGAUCCUCAUGGCAGGUCAGAUAAAGAGGUGAGGGACAGGACCUGAGUUUCCAGACUCCCACCCCAGCGCCUGAGACGUCGGUCUCAGCUUUCCCAACACCCACAUGCGAUCUGGAGCAACAGGCACUGCUCCUGGAAGACCUUGUCUCUUGUUUGUUUUUUUUGUUUGUUUGUUUGUUUGUUUUAUCCCCUCCUCUGACAGUGGUUUUCAGAUCUUCAGCCUCUUGGCAUCUUCUCCAGACACUUGCCGGAAAGCAGUGCAGCAAGGAGGAUGUCCUGCUAAAGAUAACAUUAGUCAUAUAACCCACUACUGAUUAUCUCACCUGUGAACACUUAAUGAGGUUUUGCAGGCUGUAUCUUGCCCCAGAGGAGGCUCUUCCUCCUGUUCAGAAGCUGUAAUGAUGUGGAGCUGGCUGUCAUCCAGAGCCUACAGGAACGUGUGGCCUGAGCAGGAUUAAUCCCAUGCAACCAUCCAUUUGUGAUGCUUCCCUGCACAGCACCAGUAUCUAAGCUGGUCCCAAACUGGUGCCUCGGGCUGCAAGAACUUGGCUUUCCUUGCCUACGUGGCCCAGUCCUGCAACCAGAAUAUAGAAGAGGUGAGAAGAAAGGCAGCCUGACUGGAAAUGGGGAACACUGGAGGUCCUGAGGGAGCGGGUUCAGCUCUUGUGGGAACAUCAUGAGGACAUGAGCAGGAAACAGAGUGGGAUGGAGGGAGAGGUGACAAGCAUGGCCAGAAGAAGGUCGUGCCUGCACGUGCUGGGUUUAACCUCCUGACACCAGGCAGCUGGGGACUGGGCAGGGCCCUGGGGAGGCCUGUUAGCACAGCUGUGUGCAGAUGGGUCUUGCAAAAGGGAAGGUUGCUGGAGUCAGAGGGAAAAGUCUCUCUGCAUGCAGAUGGGGAGGGAAAGAAGAUUGGCUGUAGCUGAGCAAUAGGCCAGGGAAAUGCAAACCAGGAGGAUAAGGCCUGCAUGUGAAGUUAAGUUUCUGGAGACAUGCAAUAGAGAAUACUUGAGGUGAAGUACUUCAGUAGUCCAGACCUCUGCUUUUUUAACAAAACCUGGGGACUGAACCCCGUCAAAGACUACCCUACCCUUCUUCUUCCACUGCAACAAUCUCUGUUCUGUUAUCAAAAGUCACCUGUCACAGACCAGGCACUCCAGGUAGCUACUGGGUUCAGGAGGAUGGUGGUGAGGGUGGUUUGCUGCUGAAGAUUUAAGACUUAGCUGGGCUACAGCUGUGAUCCAGAAGAGCAGAUCCUGUAAUAGGUUUCUGGAAUGGAAAAUGCAGAAAAGCUGCUCUUUGCAGAAGCUCUGGAAUGGAAUUAGAGAACGGGAAUGAAGAAAAGUGGCAGCUGUGAACAAGUGCAGGAGGACAGAUAUGUUCCUGAUCCCAGGAUUUGGCCAUGGACUGUGUGGAUAUCAACUGGUGCAGUAUUUAUGUGCUCCCACAGAGAUCUGGACCCUAAUGUGUAACUAUAAAUAUCUGUGAGUUGGUGCUUUUUCAACUGGUGCAAUUUCUAUAAACCAUAUGCUGCGUUUUGUACUGUUGUUUAAUAUAUUAACUGAGAAAGUACCUCAGGACAUGUCUGGAGCAUGUGUACCAGCCCAGUCCAGAGCUAGGCACGUUUAGAAGGGCUUGUCACCUUGGACCCAGCGUGGCUUGGACUCUUCCUAUAGCCAAGAUGGUUCAUGUCAGUCAAGAGGAGGAUCUUUGCUCUGCAGGCACUCCUUCAGGGAAAAAUCACCUUGCUUAAAGUAGUCUAGAUGUGUGGGGGCCUUUCCACGGAGGGAAUAUUUUCUACCGUAACAUGUUCCUAAUGAGCUCCUCAUCUUCCAGAGCAGCAGAUUCUCUGCCAAAGCUGUGUAAUCCACUUCAGACUUAGCUCUGGGGUUUUCUGAGCACAGUGCCUCCUCUGGGAGGAGAAUGGCCGCAGAACCUUAAUUAAGUGGCUCCUUAUUUAUUUAUGUGUGUAUUUAUUCAGACUACACAUCCAUUCACAUUGUAUUCAUUGAGCUUUCAGUCAAAUCCUAAGUCAUUGUCUGCCUGCACACAAGUAUUUAUCUAAAGGUACGGGUUUAAACUGAUUAACUCAAAUCGGUGCAAGCUCCUAUGUAGGCACCAAUAUUGGCUUAAUACCUUACACAGAAGUACUCAGAAGUUGGCUAAGGUCUUGUACAGAUCCUCUUCUUUGAGAGUAAAGUGUUUGCACAGUGGCAGGACUUAGCUUUACUGGGUUGUACAACGGGUGAGUUAAACUGGUACUGUGCUGAGGCGCAUGAAGUCCCUGCGUCUGGGGGAGCUUGAGAGGAAGGACCUUGCGAAGUGAGUGGGAAACUGCCUUCUUGGUAGUGGAGGCUGACUUUGUUCUUUCCAAACUUUCAGCACGAUAACACAAUUUCAGACCAAGGUGAGCAAAAGCGGCUGGUCCACUCCCGUGUGUCCUUGCCCUGUCAGGGAGCAAACUCAUUUGCUUUGCAAAGAACCCGCAGAUGCCUGGAAGUGGAAAGGGGGUAGAAACGCACCCGUUCUGCCCCGCUGCAAACGAAAUACACACUCUUUUAUUUAUUUAUUUAUUUAUUUUUGCCUUUGGGGUUGUUUUCCUGCUUGGGUGUAUUCAGGCUGCCUCCUGAGUAAUUUAAUCCUCCUCACCCACGGGAGAGACGGGAGUUGCAGAAGCACCCAGCUUUAUCAGCCGCGUUUCUUCCCUCCGCUUAUCAACAAACGAACUCCCAGUUGGCUUUGUUUGACUUCUCCGGUUUAUUGGAUUUGCUGCUUCCCUUCUUCAUUUUCAUAUUAAAGGCUGACGCGGGGCUGUGAUCCUGCCACCGCUGCCUCCAGCCCGAGCGCUGAUACUCGGGGCUCUAA